AUGGCGGCGCCGGCGGGCUCCCACCCCGCCUCGCCGCCAGCGAUACCCGGGAAGGCUGCGGUGGCAGCGUGCGCCGCCAUGGCCGUCUCGUACGUCGCCGUCCUAUACGCCCCCACGCUCCUCCUCCGCCUCCCGCCCGCCACCUCGCUCCGCGCCUUCUUCCACCGCCGCUUCGUGUGCGCGGCCGUGUCCUCCGCCGCCUCCGUCCUCGCCACCGCGGCUCUCCUAGGCGUAUGGAACUUGAGCGACUCGUCUAUGGCGCUCGCGGUGUUCGGCAUUCGUAGCGAUCACUUGCUCGAGGCAGUAGUGAUUCCACUUCUCCUUACAUCCCUAGUAUAUGCUGGGUCAUUCAUCGCAAGACUCUGGGCCAUGUCAAGCUCGUGUGGCACGGAUGAUGAUGGGGUGGGAGUCAGCUGCACCGACAAGCUUGCUCGCUGGAUGCAAACCUCCUUACAGGAUGUAAUGGUGUGGCGGAACUACGUAGUGGCACCGUUUACGGAGGAGCUGGUUUUCAGGGCGUGCAUGAUACCUCUUCUUCUGUGUGGAGGAUUCAAAAUGUAUAACAUUAUAUUUCUGAGUCCAAUCUUCUUCAGCCUAGCACACCUAAAUCACUUGUUUGAACUUCACCAACAAGGAUGCAACUUUAUGAGAUCUCUCCUGAUUGUUGGUGUCCAAUUAGGCUACACUGUAAUUUUCGGGUGGUAUGCUGCAUUUUUGUUCAUCCGAACAGGGAAUCUUGUGUCUCCUAUUGUUGCUCACAUAUUGUGUAACAUGAUGGGUUUGCCUGCGUUCUCAUCACCGCGAACAAGAGGAGUGACAUCGCUAGCGUUUCUGGCCGGUUCAGUAUCCUUCUUUUGUCUUCUUUUCCCUGCUACAAGUCCAAAACUGUACAAUGCGAGGUUAGACGGAUGCAGUUGCUGGCAUGGUUACUGCAGAUGGAGUUAG
rnacentral:rRNA from 1 species